CAAGGUUUCCGUAGGUGAACCUGCGGAAGGAUCAUUACCUAGAGUUUGUGGACUUCGGUCUGCUACCUCUUACCCAUGUCUUUUGAGUACCUUCGUUUUCUCGGCGGGUCCGCCCGCCGAUUGGACAACAUUCAAACCCUUUGCAGUUGCAAUCAGCGUCUGAAAAAACAUAAUAGUUACAACUUUCAACAACGGAUCUCUUGGUUCUGGCAUCGAUGAAGAACGCAGCGAAAUGCGAUAAGUAGUGUGAAUUGCAGAAUUCAGUGAAUCAUCGAAUCUUUGAACGCACAUUGCGCCCCUUGGUAUUCCAUGGGGCAUGCCUGUUCGAGCGUCAUUUGUACCUUCAAGCUCUGCUUGGUGUUGGGUGUUUGUCUCGCCUCUGCGUGUAGACUCGCCUUAAAACAAUUGGCAGCCGGCGUAUUGAUUUCGGAGCGCAGUACAUCUCGCGCUUUGCACUCAUAACGACGACGUCCAAAAGUACAUUUUUACACUCUUGACCUCGGAUCAGGUAGGGAUACCCGCUGAACUUAAGCAUAUCA
rnacentral:rRNA from 1 species